rnacentral:lncRNA from 1 species
CUGCAAAAGUGUGCAUUAACUACCUCAGAUAUACUGCACAGUUCAAAUCUAUUUUUACCUUUAGGGGCGGUUCCUAGAUUUUAAAAGGGGCGUUAUUCUAUCAAAUUUAAAAAAAUAUAUCACCGAGCGUAGCGAGACUAAAAACAAUAUUGACGAUUUUAAGGCAAAACACGAUAAUUUGUCCAAUCCUAGGGUGAACGACAUGUUCGUCCCCACCCCCGAAUCCGCCAUCUGCCUUGAAAUUACGACAAAACUGAACUUUGUACAAACAUCGUAGUUUCAGAAUAGGAAAAAAAAAGGUUUCUCAUUCCUUUUUUUCAUCUUAGCUUGAACAUAAAAUGUUUCAGUAUUAUAUUUUGCGUACAACAUAAAUCUUAAAUCAGUGUUUUAAAGUCAGAAAGAAAGUUAAAACAAUUUUUGAUAACUUCCGCCAAAAAAGAAAUGUAUCUAAGAAUAUCCGAAUAAAAGAAAUCUGAUUUGGACUAGUUUUAGAUUCAAUGGAAUUUAUAACGACUUCUUGAAUAUCUAUUCCCCAUAUUUUUGGAUCGAAUUUAAAGGGGGUCAUAUUUAAGU